UGGGGAAUAUUGGACAAUGGGGGAAACCCUGAUCCAGCCAUGCCGCGUGUGUGAAGAAGGCCUUCGGGUUGUAAAGCACUUUAAGCAGGGAGGAAGGUUUGCUGGUUAAUACCUGGCAAAAUUGACGUUACCUGCAGAAUAAGCACCGGCUAACUCUGUGCCAGCAGCCGCGGUAAUACAGAGGGUGCAAGCGUUAAUCGGAAUUACUGGGCGUAAAGCGCGCGUAGGCGGUUACGUAAGUUGGAGGUGAAAUCCCCGGGCUUAACCUGGGAACGGCCUCCAAAACUGCGUGGCUAGAGUAUGGGAGAGGGAGGUGGAAUUCCGGGUGUAGCGGUGAAAUGCGUAGAUAUCCGGAGGAACAUCGAUGGCGAAGGCAGCCUCCUGGCCUAAUACUGACGCU
rnacentral:rRNA from 1 species